rnacentral:rRNA from 1 species
AGUGAACGCUGGCGGUAGGCCUAACACAUGCAAGUCGAACGGCAGCACAGUAAGAGCUUGCUCUCAUGGGUGGCGAGUGGCGGACGGGUGAGGAAUACAUCGGACUCUACUUUUUAGUGGGGGAUAACGUAGGGAAACUUACGCUAAUACCGCAUACGACCUACGGGUGCAAGCAGGGGAUCUUCGGACCUUGCGCGAUUGACUGAGCCGAUGUCGGAUUUUCUAGUUGGCGGGGUAAAGGCACACCAAGGCGACGAUCCGUAGUUGGUCUGUGAGGAUGAUGAGCCACACUGGAACUGAGACACGGUCCAGACUCCUACUGGAACCAGCAGCGGAAAAUAUUAGACUAUGGACGCAAGCCUAAGCCAGCCAUACCGCGUUGGUGAAGAAGGCCUACGGGUUGUAAAACCCUUAUGUUUUGAAAGAAAAGCAACAGUUUAAUACCCCGCUGUUCUGACGGUACCCAAAGAAUAAGCACCGGCUAACUUCGUG